CGAAAGUUAGAGGUUCGAAGGCGAUCAGAUACCGCCCUAGUUCUAACCAUAAACGAUGCCAACCAGCGAUCCGCCUGAGUUCCUCAAAUGACUCGGCGGGCAGCUUCCGGGAAACCAAAGUGUUUGGGUUCCGGGGGAAGUAUGGUUGCAAAGCUGAAACUUAAAGGAAUUGACGGAAGGGCACCACCAGGAGUGGAGCCUGCGGCUUAAUUUGACUCAACACGGGAAAACUUACCCGGCCCGGACACUGGAAGGAUUGACAGAUUAAGAGCUCUUUCUUGAUUCAGUGGGUGGUGGUGCAUGGCCGUUCUUAGUUGGUGGAGCGAUUUGUCUGGUUAAUUCCGAUAACGAACGAGACUCUAGCCUACUAAAUAGGCGUUCCGAUCCUUUAUGUCGGACGUUCUUCUUAGAGGGACAAGCGGCUUUUAGCCGCACGAGACAGAGCAAUAACAGGUCUGUGAUGCCCUUAGAUGUCCGGGGCCGCACGCGCGCUACACUGAAGGAAUCAGCGUGUGCUUUCCCUGUCUGGUAGGACUGGGUAACCCGUUAAACCUCCUUCGUGAUAGGGAUAGGGGCUUGUAAUUGUUCCCCUUGAACGAGGAAUUCCCAGUAAGCACGAGUCAUAAGCUCGUGUUGAUUACGUCCCUGCCCUUUGUACACACCGCCCGUCGCUACUACCGAUUGAAUGAUUUAGUGAGGUCUUCGGACUGGCGCUCGUAGCGACCUUUGGCCGCGCCGACGUGCCGGAAAGAUGACCAAACUUGAUCAUUUAGAGGAAGUAAAAGUC
rnacentral:rRNA from 2 species